rnacentral:rRNA from 1 species
CCUACGGGUGGCACCAGUGGGGAAUAUUGCACGAUGGGCGCAAGCCUGAUGCAGCCAUGCCGCGUGUGUGAAGAAGGCCUUCGGGUUGUAAAGCACUUUCAGCGGGGAGGAAGGCGAUAGGGUUAAUAACCUUGUCGAUUGACGUAACCCGCAGAAGAAGCACCGGCUAACUCCGUGCCAGCAGCCGCGGUAAUACGGAGGGUGCAAGCGUUAAUCGGAAUUACUGGGCGUAAAGCGCACGCAGGCGGUCUGUCAAGUCGGAUGUGAAAUCCCCGGGCUCAACCUGGGAACUGCACUCGAAACUGGCAGGCUAGAGUCUUGUAGAGGGGGGUAGAAUUCCAGGUGUAGCGGUGAAAUGCGUAGAGAUCUGGAGGAAUACCGGUGGCGAAGGCGGCCCCCUGGACAAAGACUGACGCUCAGGUGCGAAAGCGUGGGGAGCAAACAGGAUUAGAUACCCUAGUAGUC